rnacentral:rRNA from 1 species
UUCCGGUUGAUCCUGCCGGAGGCUACCGCUAUUGGAGUUCGAUUAAGCCAUGCGAGUCGCGAGUCUUAGGGACUCGGCGUACCGCUCAGUAACACGUGGGUAACCUGCCCUAUGCUGGGGGAUAACCUCGGGAAACUGAGAAUAAUACCCCAUAGUUCACCACGCCUGGAACGGUGGGUGGACCAAAGCUCCGGCGGCAUAGGAUGGGCCUGCGGCGUAUCAGGUUGUAGGGGGUGUAAUGUACCCUCUAGCCCUCUACGCGUACGGGUGUUGAGAGACAUCGCCCGGAGAUGGAUUCUGAGACACGAAUCCAGACCCUACGGGGUGCAGCAGGCGCGAAAACUUGGCAAUGCGAGAAAUCGUGACCAGGGAACUCCAAGUGCAUCGGGUAAGACCGAUGCUUUUCUUGACUCUUCAAAGGUCUUGGAAUAAGGGGUGGGUAAGGACGGUGCCAGCCGCCGCGGUAAUACCGGCGCCCCAAGUGGUAGUCGCUUUUAUUGGGCCUAAAACGUCCGUAGCCGGUCUGGUACAUUCGUGGGUAAAUCAACCAGCUCAACUGGUUGAAUUCUGCGAGCACGGCCAGACUUGGGACCGGGAGAGGUGUGGGGUACUCUCAGGGUAGGGGUAAAAUCCUGUCAUCCUGAGAGGACCACCUGUUGCGAAGGCGCCACACUAGAACGGAUCCGACGGUCAGGGACGAAGCCUAGGGGCACGAACCGGAUUAGAUACCCGGGUAGUCCUAGGUGUAAACGCUGUGGACUUGAUGUUGGGAGUGCUCCGAGCACCCUCAGUGUCGAAGCGAAGGUGAUAAGUCCACUGCCUGGGGAGUACGGUCGCAAGGCUGAAACUUAAAGGAAUUGGCGGGGGAGCACUGCAACCUGAGGAUUGUGCGGUUUAAUUGGAUUCAACGCCGG